rnacentral:lncRNA from 1 species
UCCAGCAUAGCAUAGCUGGUAAGCAACCGCUCCUCUCUUUUUCUGCUCCAGCAAUGGUGAUUUAUGUCUAGUGCUUAUGAUGCUUUGGACUUGUAGUUUAGUGAUGCCAAGUGUUGCAUCGAUAAUAUUUGAUCAAAACCACCCAAUUGAGUUGAACAAUCGAAGAGAGCCUGCUGCUAACAGACAUGUUUUCUUUCCUAAUAAAGAUUGGAUUGUUGUCCUGGCUCUGAAACAUGCAAUUUUUUUACCCGUCUAUAAGUCUUGAUCAAAUCCAGCUUGUAUCUACUUGUAGAUGUAGGCCGUUCUAUAUUUUUUGUCGAUUAAAAACCUGCUUGCAUGUAUCCAUUUUUUGUCCUUUACAACCUGAUCGAUGUACAACCUGUUUUCUUGAAAGUAAUUUUAGUUGAUUCUUUGUUGGAGCGCUAAGACUAUGCAUGGAACAUUAGUUUUUAUUAUCUCAAACUACCGCCAUGUGAUUAUGCAGGUGCCUAGUUUGUUUUUAUUAUAUAAAACUACCUCCCUGGAACAUUAGUUUGUCACCUUGUUUCUACUGAGUGAACAUUAGAUUUUAUAUGCUUCUGAUGCGUGAUCCUUCUAAUGCUAGGUGAUUUGUUUCUUGGAAUUUGGAAGAGGAAGACGAUGAAGCGUGGUGGUUAUCUAUCAAUAUGCCUUGUGUUCUGGUUGUACUUCAUAGCUAGUUUCAUUGUAUUUUGUACUGGUCUGGUUGUAUGAACAGUAUGUAAAGAUUGUAAUAGGCUACACUUAUUGGUCUGGUUGUAUUUUGUACUGGUCUGGUUGUACUGG